GGCCAACUAAGAAAGACCUCUAUGAAUCACUAUUCGACUUAGUCGGCUAAGCACCGACCUAACAAUAAUUAUUAGCUCUGACUUAAGAUGGUUCAACUUACUUGGAUGAGAACUGACCUAAUGACAGAUACGAGCUCUAGUUUGGGAUGAUUUAACUUGGUUGGUUGAACACCAACCUAAUGAAAGAUAUGAACUCUGGCUCGGGAUGAUUCGAUUUGGUUGAAUGAGACUCAAC
rnacentral:lncRNA from 1 species